UACCAGGUCUUGACAUCCUCUGACCCCUCUGGAGACAGAGCUUUCCCUUCGGGGACAAAGUGACAGGUGGUGCAUGGUUGUCGUCAGCUCGUGUCGUGAGAUGUUGGGUUAAGUCCCGCAACGAGCGCAACCCUUAAGCUUAGUUGCCAUCAUUAAGUUGGGCACUCUAAGUUGACUGCCGGUGACAAACCGGAGGAAGGUGGGGAUGACGUCAAAUCAUCAUGCCCCUUAUGAUUUGGGCUACACACGUGCUACAAUGGACAAUACAAAGGGUAGCGAAACCGCGAGGUCAAGCAAAUCCCAUAAAGUUGUUCUCAGUUCGGAUUGUAGUCUGCAACUCGACUAUAUGAAGCUGGAAUCGCUAGUAAUCGUAGAUCAGCAUGCUACGGUGAAUACGUUCCCGGGUCUUGUACACACCGCCCGUCACACCACGAGAGUUUGUAACACCCGAAGCCGGUGGAGUAACCAUUUGGAGCUAGCCGUCGAAGGUGGGACAAAUGAUUGGGGUGAAGUCGUAACAAGGUAGCCGUAUCGGAAGGUGCGGCUGGAUCACCUCCUU
rnacentral:rRNA from 1 species